rnacentral:sRNA from 1 species
GCUGGGUGCGGUGUCGCACACCUGUAAUCCCAGUGACUUGGGAGGCUGAGACAGGAGGAUUGCCAGUUCAAAGCCAACCUCAGCAAUUUAGUGAGGCCCUAAGCAACUUAGUGAGGCCCUGUCUCUA